rnacentral:lncRNA from 1 species
AUGGGACCAAAGAGCGUCAAGGGCAGGAAGAGAAAGAGAUGGGACCAAAGAGCGUCAAGGGCAGGAAGAGAAAGAGAUGGGACCAAAGAGAGUCAAGGGCAGGAAGAGACAGGGAUGGGACCAAAGAGCAUCACGGGGAGGAAGAGACAGAGAUGGAACCAAAGAGAGUCAAGGGCAGGAAGAGACAGGGAUGGGACCAAAGAGAGUCAAGGGCAGGAAGAGACAGGGAUGGGACCAAAGAGCAUCACGGGGAGGAAGAGACAGAGAUGGAACCAAAGAGAGUCAAGGGCAGGAAGAGACAGGGAUGGAACCAAAGAGAGUCAAGGGCAGGAAGAGACAGGGAUGGGACCAAAGAGCGUCAAGGGCAGGAAGAGACAGAGAUGGAACCAAAGAGAGUCAAGGGCAGGAAGAGACAGGGAUGGGACCAAAGAGCGUCACGGGCAGGAAGAGAAAGAGAUGGGACCAAAGAGCGCCAAGGGCAGGAAUAGAAAGAGAUGGGACCAAAGAGCGCCAAGGGCAGGAAUAGAAAGAGAUGGGACCAAAGAGCGUCAAGGGCAGGAAGAGACAGAGAUGGGACCAAAGAACGUCAAGGGCAGGAAGAGACAGGGAUGGGACCAAAGAGAGUCAAGGGCAGGAAGAGACAGGGAGAAGUGCAGGAAGAGACAGAGAUGGAACCAAAGAGAGUCAAGGGCAGGAAGAGACAGUGAUGGGACCAAAGAGCGUCAAGGGCAGGAAGAGACAGGGAUGGGACCAAAGAGCGUCAAGGGCAGGAAGAGACAGGGAUGGGACCAAAGAGCGUUAAGGGCAAGAAGAGAAAGAGAUGGGACCAAAGAGCGUCAAGGGCAGGAAGAGAAAGAGAUGGGACCAAAGAGCGCCAAGGGCAGGAAGAGAAAGAGAUGGGACCAAAGAGCGCCAAGGGCAGGAAGAGAAAGAGAUGGGACCAAAGAGCAUCAAGGGCAGGAAGAGAAAGAGAUGGGACCAAAGAGCGUCAAGGGCAGGAAGAGAAAGAGAUGGGACCAAAGAGCAUCAAGGGCAGGAAGAGAAAGAGAUGGGACCAAAGAGCGUCAAGGGCAGGAAGAGAAAGAGAUGGGACCAAAGAGCGUCAAGGGGAGGAAGAGACAGAGAUGGCGCCAAAGAGAGGCAAGGGCAGACAGGCAGACACAAGCUCAUACAAUGUACAGUACCUGUUUGGCCUUGGACUUGGUGAUGGUGUCUGAUAUCGGCUUUUUUUUCUCCUUCACAGCACUUUUGGAAAAUAAGUUGACAAACUCAUCAAAAUCCACUGACGGUUCCUCGAUCUUCUCCCAAACCAGAGAACCACUCGCAUCCCUCAGGUAG